rnacentral:misc_RNA from 1 species
AAGUCGUAACAAGGUUUCCGUAGGUGAACCUGCGGAAGGAUCAUUAAUUACGAAAGCUAUAGCCCCUUCGGGGGUUAUUGCAUCCACCCUUUGUCUACUUGUACCUCUUGUUGUUUCCUCGGCAGGCUUGCCUGCCGCUAGGAACCCCUUAAACUCUUGUAUUUACAGUAUUAAAAUCUCUGAUAACUAUUUAAAUUAUUACAACUUUCAACAAUGGAUCUCUUGGUUCUG